CAGGGCUCCGCGCGCGUGCUCGGCGCGGCCUAGGCGUUCCCGCCCGCGGCGCGGAGGCGCGUGGGCGGGAUCCCGGCUCCGCGGCCGAGCUCGCUCGCCAGCGCCGCGGCUUUCCCAGCCUCAGUUUCCCUCACCACAGAAAACAGGCCUGUGCAGCCUCUUGGGGCAGAGGGGAGCAAGCCUGUGCUUCAAGUGAGAAAGCUUCUGAUGGACCUGAAGGGGAGCCUGGUGUCAUGAUCUGAUGUCUGGUUUCAUCUGCAUGAUUGAGCACUGAAGUUCAAGAAAUUUAAGUGUCUAUAUUUUUUUUUGUGUUAAAAAGGCAUUUUUAAGGAUUUUAGAAAAACUAUACAUGGUUUUCUGUUUUCUUCCAGUACCUCUGUCCUAGUGCCUGUCUCUUUUAAAUGUGACUUUUAGGGCUGGAGGGCUGGCUCAGGGGUUGCAGCACUGCUCAGGCACAGUCUCAGCACCCGUGUUGGACACCAUUAAGCCUCUAUAACUCCAGCUCCAAGGAGUCCAGAGCCUCCUCUUGUCUCCAUGGUCACCUACAUACAGAUGUGUGUGAGAGUGGCACAUACACAAACACAGUUCUUGAAAUUUGUUAGUCUACUCUGCGGUGCUUGGCAGUGUAAGCAUGGCUGUGGCUAUUCUAGACAAAAGCUCUGCCAUGGAGAUGCACCCUAGCACUGUCAGGCUGCAAGACACCUGUGCUGGUUGCAGAAGUCUUCAAGCUGUUUCCCUUCUCAUCUUGAUUGGUGAACAUGGGUCUCUGUGUGGAUGGCAGAUGCAAUAAUCUGUCUACUGUGGAAGUUGCUGGCUAGGUUGUUUAUGGCCAGCGUGAUGAAAAUGUCUCCGAGGAGGACAGUUCUUUAGCUGGCUCCUUCAGCUGGGCUUCCUGGACCUCCAUCUUUAGCCCCCACUGAGCUAGGAAGAGCACUAUGGGUCCUUCACGUGAGCAAUGAGGAUGCUCACGUGUGUUCUUUGCCUAGUGGCUGGGCAAAGCCUUGCUCAAUGGUGCAUAGGCCCUCCCUCAAACCUUGCUAAAGGCUGACUGAUUGGGUGGGCAUGGCGGAGGCCCUGGGUUCUGCACUGAUAUACUCUCAGAAGACACUCAUGCUGCAGACCUUGCCUGGAGCGCUCCUCCAAGCAGCUUGCAGUAUUCUUGGAGAAACUUAUUUGCAUGUGGAGGGAAACCUGAAGGCCUGAGUAUUUAGGCUACUUGAUGACAACAGGCUUUCCCCUAAAUCCCUAACUACUUAGACCAUUAUGUGCUGCUCAUAGAUUCUCUGCUCCUCUGUUGGGGGUGGAUGUGGUGCAGCAGUGUGAGUAACGGACCCAGGUGGUGGGGGCCAGAGAACAGUCCCCUUCUCACUGUUUUUCUGGGGGUAGGCAUCUCAAAGAUUUGGUGUGUGACAUACACACUUGUGAGUUGUGUGGGUUUCUGGAGCUAAGAGUAAAAGCUAUCGAUCAAGUGAUGUUUGCUGUUUUACAGUUCCACCAGAUAAGGUGUCCCAAGCACUUGACAUCUUCCAUAUUUUGUCUUUGAUUGUAUUGCUCUAAUUUUUAUUACCCUGAUGACCAGUGAAAUUUUUCCUGUGCUUAUUAGCCAUAUGUUCUAUCUUCCUUCUGAAAUUUUGACUCAAAACUUUUGCCGUGUUUAUGACUUGUUAUCAUAUUGAAUCAUACACGUUCUUUAUAUGUUAUGGAUGCAUGUGGUUCUCCUCCUGCCUGGGGGAAUGUCUCGUACCAGUCCAUGAAGUCAGGAGAAGCACAAGACUAGAAGGUGAUUUAAGUAUCCUGCCAGACCCAGAUGUUUCCUAUAUCCACAGCAGCACCAAAGCAGCUACCACAAUUGUUCCAGUCUGACCUCACAGACUUCCAUCAAGUUGGACCUGCACUUUCCCUCCCAUCCGUGGAUGUUCUCACAGACCUUGGACAGCAUCAAAACAGCCUUUUCUUCCUGGACUUGGCCAGCAUUUCAGCCUUUGCCAGCACCUCCUGUGUCAACAGAAAGAAGCCAGAAGAGACUCUCCACCAGUUAUUCACUUAUUAUUAAUAAAAGGCUGGAAUGGUGUGCUUCAGGGCCAGGACAAGUAGCUCCAGGUUCUCCCAGCAUUCCUCAGUCACUACCUGCUGUAGUAUGUGGCUGGCAACUCUACUGGCAACCCUCUACCCUGAACAUUCCAGGGCAGGGACUUUCUCUCCUCAACAUUUUUCUCUCUCUCUCUCUUACUUCCUUGCAUGGCAACCAAGAGCUCCUUCCAAUGAACCUUCACUUAUAUACUUUAACCUGCCUUACAUGAAAAGCAGCCCAAGCUCCUCAUUUUUUAAUUAUAGAAAAAGGGAGGAAUGUUAGUAUUUAGAUAGCCUGCUUCUGGGUUGCCUAGUAACCUAUGAUGUCAUCAUGUGUCACCUGCCAGGUGGCUACACUUGGCAGACGUGGUUCAGUUGCUCCAUAAAAGGAUCAGCCAACCACUUGUCUCUCUUGCCCUCUUACUCUCUUGCUCUCUUGCUCUCCUUUCUCUGUCAGGAUGCCCCCUUCCUUCCCCCAUCAUGUCUCUCUCUUCAUCUCCAGCCAAUAAACGUCUCUCAUAUAAAA